rnacentral:rRNA from 1 species
UACGUAGGGGGCUAGCGUUGUCCGGAAUCAUUGGGCGUAAAGCGCGUGUAGGCGGCCCGGUAAGUCCGCUGUGAAAGUCGGGGGCUCAACCCUCGGAUGCCGGUGGAUACUGUCGGGCUCGAGUACGGAAGAGGCGAGUGGAAUUCCUGGUGUAGCGGUGAAAUGCGUAGAUAUUCGCAAGAACACCAGUGGCGAAGGCGGCUCACUGGCCCGGAACUGACGCUGAGACGCGAAAGCGUGGGGAGCAAACAGG